rnacentral:misc_RNA from 1 species
GUAUAUUUAACUUUAUAGGUACAAAAUUCGACCUGAUUCAACAUUCUAGAUGCAUUCAAGAGGCUAUGAGAUGACAUAGAUCCUGGCAAAGGCAAAGCCAGCUUCAAUAUUUGAAGCAACAGCAGUCCCAACUCGAAGAGAAAAAACAUUGAAAAAAUUUUUCUCCCCAUUCAAUUAUCCAGGUCUACAAUAUGUGCACAGUUGGACAAAUAACCCUCACAAGCGUGCACCUACUCCCAACAGGGGCCAGCAACAGCCUGUGCAUGUUUAUUCAAUGAUGAUCCUUCCGCAGGUUCACCUACGGAAA